rnacentral:rRNA from 1 species
CACGGGGGGAGCAAGCGUUGUUCGGAUUCAUUGGGCGUAAAGAGCUCGUAGGCGGCUUGUCACGUCGGGUGUGAAAGCCCGGGGCUUAACCCCGGGUCUGCAUUCGAUACGGGCUAGCUAGAGUGUGGUAGGGGAGAUCGGAAUUCCUGGUGUAGCGGUGAAAUGCGCAGAUAUCAGGAGGAACACCGGUGGCGAAGGCGGGUCUCUGGGCAGUAACUGACGCUGAGGAGCGAAAGCGUGGGGAGCGAACAGG